AGUGAACGCUGGCGGUAGGCCUAACACAUGCAAGUCGAACGGCAGCACAGUAAGAGCUUGCUCUUACGGGUGGCGAGUGGCGGACGGGUGAGGAAUACAUCGGAAUCUACUUUUUCGUGGGGGAUGACGUAGGGAAACUUACGCUAAUACCGCAUACGACCUACGGGUGAAAGCAGGGGAUCUUCGGACCUUGCGCGAUUGAAUGAGCCGAUGUCGGAUUAGCUAGUUGGCGGGGUAAAGGCCCACCAAGGCGACGAUCCGUAGCUGGUCUGAGAGGAUGAUCAGCCACACUGGAACUGAGACACGGUCCAGACUCCUACGGGAGGCAGCAGUGGGGAAUAUUGGACAAUGGGCGCAAGCCUGUUCCAGCCAUACCGCGUGGGUGAAGAAGGCCUUCGGGUUGUAAAGCCCUUUUGUUGGGAAAGAAAAGCAGCAGGUUAAUACCCCGCUGUUCUGACGGUACCCAAAGAAUAAGCACCGGCUAACUUCGUG
rnacentral:rRNA from 1 species